UUUUGAGUGAAAAGCAAAUGACCUGUUGCUUGUGAGUGAUUAUUUUAUAACGAUUUUAGUGGUUUAAUUUAGCUAAUUGAUUGUUUAUUUUAUAAUAAAUAACUUUGUUUAUUCGUUGUUAACUCGAUCACUGAUAAAUUAUUGCUAAAUGUUGUUAUUUUCACACAAAAAUUUCACAUCGCCGGUCGGGGUCGAGUCAUGGAAAGGACAUUGAUAAAACACAUUUCAAAAUGGCAUAUAGAUACAAAAAAGUAUGCUGAUAAAUCAUUAAAAAAAUAUGACUAAACAAUGGAAAAAGAUUAAGACACUGAACAAUAUGUGGUGGUGGUUUUUUUGGAUAUUUUAAUUGAUAAUGUAUCAGUACAAGUACUGU